GUUUUCGCUGGGCAAAAUUAUUCUAUCAACAUAUGUCAACACAAAUACUUCGUUUCUUCUUAAUACUUCACUGUGAAAAUUCUUACGGGUGCUAAAGUGCCCCAAUUCAAGAGCAUGCAUUUUAGAAACUACUGCAAGUUUUCUUGCACUUCCGGUUCCGUGUGUCCCAGGGCCUAGGGAGGACGCACGCGGCCGAGAGGCCCUGGGGACGAGGAUGAAUUCAUCCAGUCGCUUUGCCCGCGCGGGCGAAGCAGGCUUUGAAAAUCUGCUCACGCGGGCGUGACGGGCAAAGCGAACGUUAAUGCGGCCUUAACCACAGACACAAUUUAGUUACCUAUUUCAGCACCAAAUAAAUUGUUCUUCACAUAUUUAAUGCACAAAAUCCUGAUAUUUAGCCUGCAAACAGGCCCUUCUGGGCUGCUUGUGGUUAAUUUAAAUUUGU